rnacentral:rRNA from 1 species
GAUGAACGCUGGCGGCGUGCCUAAUACAUGCAAGUCGAGCGAACGGACGAGAAGCUUGCUUCUCUGAUGUUAGCGGCGGACGGGUGAGUAACACGUGGAUAACCUACCUAUAAGACUGGGAUAACUUCGGGAAACCGGAGCUAAUACCGGAUGAUAUUUUGAACCGCAUGGUUCAAAAGUGAAAGACGGUCUUGCUGUCACUUAUAGAUGGAUCCGCGCUGCAUUAGCUAGUUGGUAAGGUAACGGCUUACCAAGGCAACGAUGCAUAGCCGACCUGAGAGGGUGAUCGGCCACACUGGAACUGAGACACGGUCCAGACUCCGACGGGAGGCAGCAGUAGGGAAUCUUCCGCAAAGGGCGAAAGCCUGACGGAGCAACGCCGCGUGAGUGAUGAAGGUCUUCGGAUCGUAAAACUCUGUUAUUAGGGAAGAACAUAUGUGUAAGUAACUGUGCACAUCUUGACGGUACCUAAUCAGAAAGCCACGGCUAACUACGUG